rnacentral:misc_RNA from 1 species
GAUGAAGAACGUAGCGAAAUGCGAUAAGUAAUGUGAAUUGCAGAAUUCAGUGAAUCAUCGAAUCUUUGAACGCACAUUGCGCCCGCCAGUAUUCUGGCGGGCAUGCCUGUUCGAGCGUCAUUUCAACCAUCAAGCUCAGCUUGGUGUUGGGCCCCGCCGCCCCGGCGGGCCCUAAAGUCAGUGGCGGUGCCGUCCGGCUCCGAGCGUAGUAAUUCUUCUCGCUCUGGAGGUCCGGUCGUGUGCUCGCCAGCAACCCCCAAUUUUUUUCAGGUUGACCUCGGAUCAGGUAGGGAUACCCGCUGAACUUAAGCAUAUCAAUAAGCGGAGGA